GGGGAUGUAGCUCAGCUGGGAGAGCGUCGCGUUCGCAAUGCGAAGGUCGGGAGUUCGAUCCUCCUCGUCUCCACCA
rnacentral:tRNA from 1 species